rnacentral:rRNA from 1 species
UACGUAGGGGGCAAGCGUUGUCCGGAUUUAUUGGGCGUAAAGAGCGUGUAGGCGGUCAGGUAGGUCCGUUGUGAAAACUCGAGGCUCAACCUCGAGACGCCGAUGGAAACCAUCUGACUAGAGUCCGGAAGAGGAGAGUGGAAUUCCUGGUGUAGCGGUGAAAUGCGCAGAUAUCAGGAAGAACACCCGUGGCUAAGGCGGCUCUCGUAG